rnacentral:lncRNA from 1 species
CUGACAGUCUCCCACACACUUUCUCCAGCACUAACACACACUCCCUCUCCGUCUCACAGCCAUGGGUUCAGCGCUGUGGGUCUUUCUGCUGUGCCUGCACGGCUACCUGCUCACACAUGCUCUCGAGUGUGCCGACGGAGGCAGAGACUGCGCUGCUGGGGAGGUUAGCGAGGUCAAGUUGAGGGUUCGGCGACACACUGACCCAGACAGAGAGAGAGGAGGUCACCUUGGCCAAGCCCACCUACCAGGAUCAUUUUCAGCCAAGGGCAUCCCCAAUGCUCUCAUUCAGGCUGAUAGAGCGAGGCGUCAUCUGAACAUCAAUAGGAAGAAACACGUUCCUCGCAAAUCGAGAGUCGGCACUUUCUCGCUGCUCAAACACAACCCCUCCAAUCCUCUGCAGGUCGUUCGAGCUCGAAGACACACUGAAGCUGCCGCCAUUCCAGACCUGCCUCCAUUAAAGACAGUGAAGCAGAGGCCCAGGAGAAGUGCAGCCAAAAAGAAGAAGAACACAAAAGCUGCAGUCUGCUCCUGAGACGGGACGCCCAUCCACAGACGUCAAAACAAACCAAAGGCUAAUACAUGAAAAUUAAAUCAGUUCAUCUGGGAAACAAACACAUACUGACUCCAUUCACACUUACAGCUGCCGUCCUGGAGGCGUUUAUUGUUCGGUAAUUGCAGCACAGCUGGAAGCUGUAAU